CAGCAGCCGCGGUAAUACGGAGGGUGCAAGCGUUAAUCGGAAUUACUGGGCGUAAAGCGUGCGUAGGCGGUUCGUUAAGUCAGAUGUGAAAGCCCUGGGCUCAACCUGGGAACUGCAUUUGAAACUGGCGGACUAGAGUUUAGUAGAGGGGAGUGGAAUUUCAGGUGUAGCGGUGAAAUGCGUAGAUAUCUGAAGGAACACCAGUGGCGAAGGCGACUCCCUGGACUAGAACUGACGCUGAGGUACGAAAGCGUGGGUAGCAAACAGGAUUAGAUACCCUGGUAGUCCACGCCGUAAACGAUGUCGACUAGCCAUUGGUCCUAUUUACAGGAUUAGUGGCGCAGCUAACGCAUUAAGUCGACCGCCUGGGGAGUACGGCCGCAAGGUUAAAACUUAAAGGAAUUGACGG
rnacentral:rRNA from 1 species